AAGCCUGAGCACGGCCGGGGCCGAGGCGCACGGAGAGCGCGCAGCACUCGCUGCUGCAGCGGCGGCCGGGCUGCGGCGCAUCCGGGCGGGGAGCCGAGGCGAGUCCCACGCGGCUUCCCCGAGCCGCCGACAGCGGCGCCCGCUCCGGAGAAGCAGAACAGCCCGGGGGCCACCGCCGGCUGGCGUCGGCGGGGCGCGGAAGAUCGGCGGCGGCCACCUCAGAGUCGCCGCCCGCCCCGGCCGGGCCGGAUCCCGGAGCCGUCGAGCAUGGAGCCCUGGAAGCAGUGCGCUCAGUGGCUCAUCCACUGCAAAGUGCUGCCCGCCAACCACCGGGUGACCUGGGACUCGGCGCAGGUGUUCGACCUGGCACAGACCCUCCGCGAUGGAGUCCUGCUCUGCCAGCUGCUCAACAACCUGCGGGCACACUCCAUCAACCUAAAAGAGAUCAACCUGAGGCCGCAGAUGUCCCAGUUUCUCUGUCUGAAGAAUAUCCGGACAUUUCUGUCAGCCUGCUGUGAGACGUUUGGAAUGAGAAAAAGCGAACUCUUUGAGGCGUUCGACUUGUUUGAUGUUCGUGACUUUGGAAAGGUUAUAGAAACAUUAUCUCGGUUAUCCCGCACACCAAUAGCGUUGGCCACAGGAAUCAGGCCUUUCCCUACAGAAGAAAGUGUAAAUGAUGAAGACAUCUACAAAGGCCUUCCUGACUUAAUAGAUGAAACCCGUGUGGAGGACGAAGAAGACCUCUAUGACUGUGUGUACGGCGAGGAUGACGGCGGAGAAGUCUAUGAGGACUUGAUGAAGGCCGAGGAAGCUCAGCAACCUAAAUCACAAGAAAAUGAUAUACGAAGUUGUUGCCUAGCAGAAAUUAAGCAGACAGAAGAAAAAUAUACAGAAACUCUGGAGUCAAUAGAAAAAUAUUUCAUGGCACCAUUGAAAAGAUUUCUGACAACAGCAGAAUUUGACUCGGUAUUCAUCAAUAUCCCUGACCUUGUGAAAGUUCAUCGGAGCUUAAUGCAAGAGAUUCAUGAUUCCAUUGUAAAUAAAGAUGACCAGAACUUGUAUCAAGUUUUUAUUAACUACAAGGAAAGAUUGGUUAUUUAUGGACAGUACUGCAGUGGAGUGGAGUUGGCCAUCUCUAACUUAGACUACAUCGCCAAGACGAAAGAAGAUGUCAAAUUGAAAUUGGAGGAAUGUUCAAAAAGAGCAAAUAACGGGAAAUUUACUCUUCGAGAUUUGCUGGUGGUUCCCAUGCAGCGUGUGCUGAAGUAUCACCUCCUCCUCCAGGAACUGGUCAAACACACCCACGAUGCUACGGAGAAGGCAAACCUGAAGUUGGCCCUGGAUGCAAUGAAGGACUUGGCACAAUAUGUGAAUGAAGUGAAAAGAGAUAAUGAGACCCUUCGUGAAAUUAAGCAGUUUCAGCUAUCUAUAGAAAAUUUGAACCAGCCAGUUUUGCAAUUUGGGCGACCUCAGGGAGAUGGUGAAAUCCGAAUAACCACACUGGACAAGCAUACGAAGCAAGAAAGGCAUAUCUUCUUAUUUGACUUGGCAGUGAUUGUGUGUAAAAGGAAAGGGGAUAACUAUGAGAUGAAGGAAAUCAUAGAUCUGCAGCAUUACAAGAUAGCCAACAAUCCUACCACUGACAAAGAAAAUAAAAAGUGGUCUUAUGGCUUCUACCUCAUCCAUACCCAAGGACAAAAUGGGUUAGAAUUUUAUUGCAAAACAAAAGAUUUAAAGAAAAAAUGGCUGGAACAGUUUGAAAUGGCUUUAUCUAACAUAAGGCCAGACUACGCAGACUCCAAUUUCCACGACUUCAAGAUGCACACCUUCAAUCGGGUGACGUCCUGCAGAGUCUGCCAGAUGCUCCUGAGGGGAACAUUUUAUCAAGGCUAUUUAUGUUUUAAGUGUGGAGCAAAAGCACACAAAGAAUGUUUGGGAAGAGUAGACAAUUGUGGCAGAGUUAAUUCUGUUGAACAAGGGCCAUUCAAACCACCAGAGAAACGGACCAAUGGACUCCGGCGAGCUCCCAGACAGGUGGACCCAGGUUUGCCGAAGAUGCAGGUCAUUAGGAACUACACUGGGACCCCACCCCCAGCUCUUCAUGAUGGACCACCACUGCAUAUCCAGGCAGGAGACACUGUGGAACUUCUGAGAGGAGAUGCACACAGUGCAUUUUGGCAGGGACGGAAUUUGUCUUCAGGAGAGGUUGGAUUUUUCCCAAGUGAUGCUGUCAAACCAUCUCCAUGUGUACCUAAACCAGUAGAUUAUUCUUGCCAACCCUGGUAUGCUGGACCAAUGGAAAGAUUGCAGGCAGAAACUGAACUCAUUAACAGGGUGAAUAGCACUUACCUUGUGAGGCUCAGGACCAAGGAGUCCGGAGAAUAUGCAAUUAGCAUUAAGUACAAUAAUGAAGCAAAACACAUCAAGAUUUUAACAAGAGAUGGCUUUUUUCACAUUGCAGAAAAUAGAAAAUUUAAAAGCUUAAUGGAACUUGUGGAGUACUACAAGCACCAUUCUCUUAAAGAAGGGUUCAGGACCUUAGAUACGACGCUACAGUUUCCAUACAAGGAGCCAGAACAUUCAGCCGGACAGAGGGGUAAUAGAGCAGGCAACAGCUCCCUCCUCUGUUCUGUGGCUUUUCUUUUGUAACUCCUCCAGACUACAGCUUUGUUCCCCCUUCCUCCACUCCUUUCUGGUCAGUGCUAAGUCCCAAAGUACUGGGCAUUGCCAUCGCUCGGUAUGACUUCUGUGCAAGAGACAUGCGGGAACUCUCCUUAUUGAAAGGGGACAUGGUGAAGAUUUACACAAAGCUGAGUGCAAAUGGCUGGUGGAGAGGAGAAGUCAACGGCAGGGUGGGCUGGUUUCCAUCCACAUACGUGGAAGAAGAUGAGUAAGGUCUAAACUGCACCAAAAUCUCCAAGAAGGGAUAAAGAGAAGCCUGCACUGUGUUAUGAGUUAACUGAAGUAUUUAGAAAGCAGCAUUUCUGGCUGUUCAACACCUCCCUUCUUUUUUUUUUUUCUCUUCAGUCUUAAUGCUGGGAUUUCUAAAGAUGCUGGUCCUGACAGAUUAAUGGCUUGCCUAGAGCAGUGCAAGAAACAGCCUGCCAGUCUGUCAUUGUCAAGGACCAGGGCAAAACCAAAAGCUUUUCUUCCCCGAAGAGCCCUGCAAAUACAUCAGGUCAGGGUUCUCCUACUUCAUUGGGUCAGGCACCAUGGAUUCAGCCAUUAGGAAACGUUUCAUGCAUAUUUACUUUGUUCUUACAGCUUUUGAUGAUACAAAGAAACAGAAGUUUAAUUUUGCUUUUUCCCAGCAUGAAGAAAACGUAGAGUUCUGCCAUCUGGGAAUGAUCCAGCUUGCUGGAAAGAUCCAGCAUUUCUUGUCUUAAAUUGUUCAACAGGUGACUCAUUGCCUGGCAAACACUUUUAUCCCCAGAUGUUACUUGCGAUCAAAUGAAAGCGGCUCAUGCUCAGGUUUGCAUCGUAAGUGAUAAAUUACAGAGGGGAGUUUUAAUUAUUUAUUUGAUGUCCUGAUUGUAUUUCCACACUUCUUUAUAAAGAAGAAAAAGAAAAGCACAUGAAAGGAAGUGUCUUUGUAUUAAAGCCUCACAACUUUCAUGAUUUCAUAGGGUGUUUUGGAAAUGUCAUGCUUGACAAAGGAAGCUUGGCUAGGCAGGUCCUGCUUAGUUGCCAGGAAUCCCAGUGAGGUGGAGGUAUUUACAGAGACAUAUCAAGGGGUGUAAUCCAUAGGACAUCCUUGUAUAGCAGCAAUACUAUUAACACGAACCUUUUCCUUCCCCUUGGAAAGAUCCAGGGCGUAUUUUCUGAUUUCUAUUCUUUUUUUAUUUUUUUAAAUAGUAGCACAAAAGAGCUUUAUUGAGGAUUUGGGAAGGAAAGUCCAUUGUUUCAAGAGAGAAGGAAAGAUACCAGUGUUCUCCUGGCGCCUCUUUUUUCCCUUCUGAAGCCAUUCUAGCUAUGUCUUAAUCGGUAGUGAGAUCCAUUCUGCCGUGCGUUUCUUUCACAAAGCCUUCACUGUGUUCUGUAAGGGGUCUAAGUAGCUUCCUCUUGAGAUGCAUGGAGUCCCUAUUUGAGACAGUCAAGUUAAGAUGCUAACUUGGCCCUUCCAUGGUGGACUAUCUCUUUCAUAGCAGUAGCUGUGUUCUGACAAGAUUCAGAAAGUGUUCCUGCUUGGAGGAAAAAAUAGAAGUAUUUUUUUUUUAUCAUAGACAUGAUCUAGAAGCUUCUCGUACCAGAUUUUUCGGUCACCUCUGACAUGAAAGGGCUGUGACAGCCUGUCCUCUCCCAGCUCGCAUGAGUGCCAGAACUUGUUCAAUGGACACAUCUCCCUCCAAGAGACCCCUGGUGGCUAGAACUUCUCAUUUAAAUAGACUCAAGAUCUUUACCUCAGAUUAUGUAAACUGUGAUUGUGUUUUAGAACAAUUAAGCUUUUGUAUAUGUGUAAAUGGUCAUGAAAAUGUAUUUUAUAAAACAUAUGUACAGUCAACUUGUGCUGGUAAGGUCUACUCUUGGAAUGGAUUCCUACCCAGAAAGUCUUAUCUGUGUCUCGGGGAUGUUUUGUCUGUCACUGUCAGCAAGUGUCGCUCUGGAGAGUACAGCUUCCCACAGACUGAAAGGCUCCUGUGGACAGUAUUGUAGCAUGUAUCGUUUAUUUCAGUCUAUAGACUCCAUGCCUCACAAGUGGUAUGUGGUCUUCCUGUUGCAUUUCAUUGGCCUCAGAGUUUCAUAGCAGAGGACAGAAGAGCCUCUUUUCAUGACAUUACCAAUGGCAACUGUGUCUACAUUUAGUACUUUGUAUUGGAGAUUUUGAAUGCCACAAUCUGUGUAGAUUUCUAAUACCAAAGACAGAAGUAAAUGUUUUCCAUGGACUUUGUCUUGCCUGUCUGUAGCCCCUGUGUAAUACGGUGAAUUGGAAUGGUAUUUUACUUUGUAAUAUUUUGUAAAUAUGUCAAUAAAAUAGUUAAUACUUGCAUUAA